UGAUUUAUCAGGGUGACUGCGUACCUUUUGUAUAAUGGGUCAGCGACUUAUAUUCUGUAGCAAGGUUAACCGUAUAGGGGAGCCGUAGGGAAACCGAGUCUUAACUGGGCGAAUAAGUUGCAGGGUAUAGACCCGAAACCCGGUGAUCUAGCCAUGGGCAGGUUGAAGGUUGGGUAACACUAACUGGAGGACCGAACCGACUAAUGUUGAAAAAUUAGCGGAUGACUUGUGGCUGGGGGUGAAAGGCCAAUCAAACCGGGAGAUAGCUGGUUCUCCCCGAAAGCUAUUUAGGUAGCGCCUCGUGAACUCAUCUUCGGGGGUAGAGCACUGUUUCGACUAGGGGGUCAUCCCGACUUACCAACUCGAUGCAAACUACGAAUACCGAAGAAUGUUAUCACGGGAGACACACGGCGGGUGCUAACGUUCGUCGUGAAGAGGGAAACAACCCAGACCGCCAGCUAAGGUCCCAAAGUCAUAGUUAAGUGGGAAACGAAGUGGGAAGGCUCAGACAGCCAGGAUGUUGGCUUAGAAGCAGCCAUCAUUUAAAGAAAGCGUAAUAGCUCACUGGUCGAGUCGGCCUGCGCGGAAGAUGUAACGGGGCUAAACUAU
rnacentral:rRNA from 1 species